UACGUAGGGUGCGAGCGUUGCCCGGAAUUAUUGGGCGUAAAGGGCUCGUAGGCGGUCUGUCGCGUCAGGAGUGAAAACUCGGGGCUUAACCCCGAGCCUGCUUCUGAUACGGGCAGACUAGAGGUAUGCAGGGGGAGAACGGAAUUCCUGGUGUAGCGGUGAAAUGCGCAGAUAUCAGGAGGAACACCGAUGGCGAAGGCAGGUCUCUGGGCCACUACUGACGCUGAGAAGCGAAAGCAUGGGGGAGCGAACAGG
rnacentral:rRNA from 1 species